rnacentral:rRNA from 1 species
GACGUAGGGCGCGAGCGUUGUCCGGAUUUAUUGGGCGUAAAGAGCUCGUAGGCGGCUCGUCGCGUCAGCUGUGAAAACCCGCGGCUUAACCGUGGGCGUGCAGCUGAUACGGGCGGGCUAGAGUUCGGUAGGGGAGACUGGAAUUCCUGGUGUAGCGGUGAAAUGCGCAGAUAUCAGGAGGAACACCGGUGGCGAAGGCGGGUCUCUGGGCCGAUACUGACGCUGAGGAGCGAAAGCGUGGGGAGCGAACAGG